GAUGAACGCUGGCGGCGUGCCUAAUACAUGCAAGUCGAGCGAACAGACGAGGAGCUUGCUCCUCUGACGUUAGCGGCGGACGGGUGAGUAACACGUGGAUAACCUACCUAUAAGACUGGGAUAACUUCGGGAAACCGGAGCUAAUACCGGAUAAUAUAUUGAACCGCAUGGUUCAAUAGUGAAAGACGGUUUUGCUGUCACUUAUAGAUGGAUCCGCGCCGCAUUAGCUAGUUGGUAAGGUAACGGCUUACCAAGGCAACGAUGCGUAGCAGACCUGAGAGGGUGAUCGGCCACACUGGAACUGAGACACGGUCCAGACUCAUACGGGAGGCAGCAGUAGGGAAUCUUCCGCAAUGGGCGAAAGCCUGACGGAGCAACGCCGCGUGAGUGAUGAAGGUCUUCGGAUCGUAAAACUCUGUUAUUAGGGAAGAACAAAUGUGUAAGUAACUAUGCACGUCUUGACGGUACCUAAUCAGAAAGCCACGGCUAACUACGUG
rnacentral:rRNA from 1 species